rnacentral:rRNA from 1 species
GUGAGGAAUAUUGGUCAAUGGGCGAGAGCCUGAACCAGCCAAGUCGCGUGAAGGAUGAAGGUUUUAUGAAUUGUAAACUUCUUUUGCAGGGGAAUAAAGUACGGUACGUGUACCGUUUUGUAUGUACUCUGCGAAUAAGGAUCGGCUAACUCCGUGCCAGCAGCCGCGGUAAUACGGAGGAUCCAAGCGUUAUCCGGAUUUAUUGGGUUUAAAGGGUGCGCAGGCGGGUUGAUAAGUCAGCGGUGAAAGUUUGCAGCUUAACUGUAAAAUUGCCGUUGAAACUGUCGAUCUUGAGUGCAAAUGAGGUAAGCGGAAUGUGUUGUGUAGCGGUGAAAUGCUUAGAUAUAACACAGAACACCGAUUGCGAAGGCAGCUUACUGGGAUGCAACUGACGCUCAUGCACGAAAGCGUGGGGAUCAAACAGGAUUAGAUACCCCAGUAGUCC